UCCCCGCAAGGUCGCUAGCCGUUGUCUU
rnacentral:sRNA from 1 species